AUAUUGCACAAUGGGGGAAACCCUGAUGCAGCGACGCCGCGUGAGUGAAGAAGUAUUUCGGUAUGUAAAGCUCUAUCAGCAGGGAAGAAACUGACGGUACCUGACUAAGAAGCCCCGGCUAACUACGUGCCAGCAGCCGCGGUAAUACGUAGGGGGCAAGCGUUAUCCGGAUUUACUGGGUGUAAAGGGAGCGUAGACGGUAUUGCAAGUCUGAAGUGAAAUCCCGGGGCUCAACCCCGGAGCUGCUUUGGAAACUGUAAAACUAGAGUGCUGGAGAGGUAAGCGGAAUUCCUAGUGUAGCGGUGAAAUGCGUAGAUAUUAGGAGGAACACCAGUGGCGAAGGCGGCUUACUGGACAGUCACUGACGUUGAGGCUCGAAAGCGUGGGGAGCAAACAGG
rnacentral:rRNA from 1 species